rnacentral:rRNA from 1 species
GUGCCAGCAGCCGCGGUAAUACGAGGGGGGCGAGCGUUGUUCGGAAUCACUGGGCGUAAAGAGUGCGUAGGCGGUUACAAAAGUUAGGAGUGAAAGCCCUGGGCUCAACCUAGGAAUUGCUCUUAAUACUGUGUAACUCGAAUUCGGGAGAGGAUAGCGGAAUUGUCAGUGUAGCAGUGAAAUGCGUAGAUAUUACAGGAACACCGGUGGCGUAAGCGGCUAUCUGGACCGACAUUGACGCUGAGGCACGAAAGCGUGGGGAUCAAACAGGAUUAGAUACCCUGGUAGUCC